AUUGAACGCUGGCGGCAUGCUUUACACAUGCAAGUCGAACGGCAGCACGGGCUUCGGCCUGGUGGCGAGUGGCGAACGGGUGAGUAAUAUAUCGGAACGUACCCAGAAGUGGGGGAUAACGUAGCGAAAGUUACGCUAAUACCGCAUACGAUCUAUGGAUGAAAACAGGGGACCGCAAGGCCUUGUGCUCCUGGAGCGGCCGAUAUCUGAUUAGCUAGUUGGUGAGGUAAAGGCUCACCAAGGCGACGAUCAGUAGCUGGUCUGAGAGGACGACCAGCCACACUGGAACUGAGACACGGUCCAGACUCCUACGGGAGGCAGCAGUGGGGAAUUUUGGACAAUGGGCGCAAGCCUGAUCCAGCAAUGCCGCGUGAGUGAAGAAGGCCUUCGGGUUGUAAAGCUCUUUUGUCAGGGAAGAAACGGUAGAGGCUAAUAUCCUUUGCUAAUGACGGUACCUGAAGAAUAAGCACCGGCUAACUACGUG
rnacentral:rRNA from 1 species